rnacentral:tRNA from 1 species
GGGCUUUUAGCAUAAUCAGGAUAGUGCGGGGGGCUACGGACUCCCUGAUGCAGGUUCAAAUCCUGCAGAGCUCA